rnacentral:rRNA from 1 species
ACAGCAGUCGCCACGGUAAUACGGAGGAUCCGAGCGUUAUCCGGAAUUAUUGGGUUUAAAGGGUGCGUAGGCGGAUAGAUAAGUCAGUGGUGAAAGACGGUGGCUCAACCAUCGCAGUGCCGUUGAUACUGUUUAUCUUGAAUAUGGAUGAGGUAGGCGGAAUGUGGCAAGUAGCGGUGAAAUGCAUAGAUAUGCCACAGAACACCGAUUGCGAAGGCAGCUUACCAAGGCAAAAUUGACGCUGAGGCACGAAAGCGUGGGGAUCGAACAGGAUUAGAUACCCCAGUAGUCCCUGUCUCUUAUAC